ensembl:snRNA U6 U6 spliceosomal RNA
GUACUCACUUCAGCAGCACAUAUACUAAAAUUGGAAUGAUAUAGAGAAGAUUAACAUGGCCCCUGCACAAGGAUGUCAUGCAAAUACAUGAAGCAUUACCAGAAAGA